rnacentral:rRNA from 1 species
CCUACGGGAGGCAGCAGUGAGGAAUAUUGGUCAAUGGGCGUAAGCCUGAACCAGCCAAGUCGCGUGAGGGAUGAAGGUUCUAUGGAUCGUAAACCUCUUUUAUCAGGGAGUAAAGGACGGGACGUGUCCCGUUUUGUAUGUACCUGAUGAAUAAGGAUCGGCUAACUCCGUGCCAGCAGCCGCGGUAAUACGGAGGAUCCGAGCGUUAUCCGGAUUUAUUGGGUUUAAAGGGUGCGUAGGCGGCCUGUUAAGUCAGCGGGGAAAUUCAGGGGCUCCAACAUCGAAGUGCCGUUGAAACGGGGAGGCUUGAGUGUGUGAGAGGCAGGCGGAAUGCGUGGUGUAGCGGUGAAAUGCUUAGAUAUCACGCAGAACCCCGAUUGCGAAGGCAGCAUGCCAGGGCAUGACUGACGCUGAUGCACGAAAGUGUGGGGAUCAAACAGGAUUAGAUACCCUUGUAGUC